rnacentral:rRNA from 1 species
GUGAGGAAUAUUGCGCAAUGGAGGCAACUCUGACGCAGCCAUGUCGCGUGCAGGAAGAAGGCGCUACGCGUUGUAAACUGCUUUUAACCGGGAAGAAACCCCAGGACGUGUCCUGGGUUGACGGUACCGGAGGAAUAAGCACCGGCUAACUUCGUGCCAGCAGCCGCGGUAAUACGAAGGGUGCAAGCGUUAUCCGGAUUCAUUGGGUUUAAAGGGUGCGUAGGCGGAGCGUUAAGUCAGUGGUGAAAUCCUGCAGCUUAACUGUAGACUUGCCAUUGAUACUGGCGCUCUUGAGUGCGCUUGAAGUGGGCGGAAUGUGCCGUGUAGCGGUGAAAUGCUUAGAUAUGGCACAGAACACCAAUUGCGAAGGCAGCUCACUAAGGCGAUACUGACGCUGAGGCACGAAAGCGUGGGGAUCGAACAGGAUUAGAUACCCGUGUAGUCC